UUUAAAUAAAUAAAGGGCAAUAGGUGGAUGCCUAGGCGAUAUCAGGCGAAGAAGGACGUGAUUACCUGCGAAAAGCCUCGGGGAGCUGGAAGUAAGCUUUGAUCCGGGGAUGUCCGAAUGGGGCAACCCGUUUGAGUAACAAUCAAACAGUCUCAACUGAAUACAUAGGGUGAGAUGGCAAACCUGCAGAAAUGAAACAUCUAAGUAAGCAGAGGAAAAGAAAGCGAAAGCGAUUCUCUAAGUAGUGGCGAGCGAAAGGGGAAGAGCCCAAACCAUUGGGAUUUAUCCCAGUGGGGUUGUAGGACUCACAUAAAAGGAUGGAAUGAAUAGCUUAACUUUGUUGGAAAGCAAGACCCAAGAGGGUGAUGGUCCCGUGAGCGAAAUUUGUGAAAUUCGAGUGAGUAUCCUGAGUAGCACGAGGUAAGUGGAAUCUUGUGUGAAUUUGCGCGAACUACUGCGUAAGGCUAAAUACUUGAUAUCGACCGAUAGUGGACAAGUACCGUGAGGGAAAGGUGAAAAGAACCCCUGUUAGGGGAGUGAAAUAGAAACUGAAACCAAUUGCCUACAAGCGGUCGGAGCCUCUUUAUGAGGUGACGGCGUACCUUUUGCAUUAUGGGUCUGGGAGUUAUUGUUUAAGGCAAGCUUAAGAUUUUAUGGAUCGGAGGCGUAGCGAAAGCGAGUCUGAAUAGGGCGAUAGUCGUAGGCAAUAGACCCGAAGCGGAGAUGAUCUACCCAUGGCCAGGUUGAAGCUUUGGUAACACAAAGUGGAGGACCGAACCCGUGAACCUUGAGAAGUUUUGGGAUGAGCUGUGGGUUGGAGUGAAAGGCUAAUCAAAUUCCGUGAUAGCUGGUUCUCUUCGAAAUAUAUUUAGGUAUAGCCUCGUAUGCUGAUUAUGGGAGGUAGAGCACUGAAAAGACUAGGGCCCAUACCCGGGUACCAAACCUUAUCAAACUACGAAUACCCAUGAAAGAAAUACGGGAGUCAGGCAGUGGGGGAUAAGCUUCAUUGCCAAGAGGGAAAGAGCCCAGAUCACCAAUUAAGGCCCCAAAAUCAUUGCUAAGUGGAAGUAAGGAGGUGGAUUUACAUAAACAAUAGGAAUGUUGGCUUAGAGGCAGCCAUCAUUUAAACAGUGCGUAACAGCUGACCUAUCGAGUGAAUUUGCGCCGAAAAAGAUCGGGACUAAGCAAUGUGCCGAAGUUGUGAACUUGCGAAAGCAAGUGGUAGAAGAGCGUUCUAAUCGGGUAGAAGUUUAAGGGAUAACCGAGAAUGGACUGAUUGGAAGUGAGAAUCCAGACAUGAGUAACGAUAAGUACGGUGGAAAUCCGUACCGCCGUAAGGACAAGGUUUCCUUGGGAAGGUUCGUCCGCCAAGGGUUAGUCGGGAGCUAAAAUGAGGCCGUAAGGAGUAAUUGAUGCACAACAGGUUAAUAUUCCUGUACCGACUUGUGAGCGUAUGUAUUCAAGGAGUAACAAAAGAAGCUAUUUCAGCAUUCGGUUGAAAGAGAAUGUCGAAGCCAACAAGGCUGUCUGAUAGGAAAAUCCGUCGGACGUAAGGCUGAGUGGUGAUAGGACAUGGAGGCUACGGCCAAAGUGGAUUGAAAGAGGCUAUAUUUUCAAGAAAAACUUCGUGAAGAGCUUACAGGUUGCCCGUACCGGAAACCGACACAGGUGUCCGAGAUGAGUAUUCUAAGGCGCGUGAGUUAACCCUCCCCAAGGAACUCGGCAAAUUAAUCCUGUAUCUUUGGUAGAAAGGAUGCCUCGCAAGAGGCCGCAGAGAAAUGGCCCAGCCGACUGUUUAGCAAAAACACAGCUCUCUGCUAAGUCGUAAGACGACGUAUAGGGAGUGACACGUGACCCAUGCGGAAAGGUGAAACUCGGAGGUGCAAGCUUCUGAACUAAGCCCCCGUUAAUGUCGGCCGUAACUAUAACGGUCCUAAGGUAGCGAAAUUCCUUGUCGGGUAAGUUCCGACCUGCACGAAACGUGUAACGAGUUGGGCGCUGUCUCAGGGAGGUGCUCAGUGAAAUUGUAGUCGCGGUGAAAAUGCCGCGUACCCGCAGUAGGACGGAAAGACCCUAUGGACCUUUACUGUAACCUGGUAUGGGUGACUGAUUUUUAAUGCGUAGGAUAGGUGGGAGACUUUGAGUCCGUGCUUCAGGGCAUGGGUGAGUCGACGGUGAAAUACCACUCUUUAAUAAUCAGUGAUCUAACGUUGUCCCAUUAUCUGGGCAAUGGACAGUGCUAGGGGGUCAGUUUGACUGGGGCGGUCUCCUCCCAAAAAGUAACGGAGGAUUACGAAGGUCUCCUCAGGCCGGUUGGCAACCGGUUGUAGAGCAUAUGAGUAGAAGGAGGCUUUACUGUGAGACUUACAAGUCGAGCAGUUGCGAAAGCAGGUUCAAGUGAUCCGGUAGUGGCACGUAGAAGCCCUAUCGCUUAUAGGAUAAAAGGUACCCUAGGGAUAACAGGCUGAUAACGCCCAAGCGUUCAUAGCGACGGCGUUGUUUGGCACCUCGAUGUCGACUCAUCACAUCCUGGGGCUGGAGAAGGUCCCAAGGGUUUGGCUGUUCGCCAAUUAAAGUGGUACGUGAGUUGGGUUCAGAACGUCGCGAGACAGUUCGGUCCUCUAUCCUCUGUGGCGUUGGAAAUUUGAAGGAUUCAUUCUCUAGUACGAGAGGACCGAGAAUGACGAGCCGCUGGUGUUCCGGUUAUCGUGUCAACGGUAGUGCCGGGUAGCUAUGCUCGGAAAAGAUAAGCGCUGAAAGCAUCUAAGCGCCAAGCUUGUCCAAAGAUAAGAUUUCCCAAGAGCAAUCUUGUAAGAAUCCUGGAAGACGACCAGGUUGAUAGGGCAGAUGUGUAAGUAUAGUAAUAUAUUGAGCUAACUGCUACUAAUGAUUCGAGUGAAUUUAAAAU
rnacentral:rRNA from 1 species